CAGUAGCUAAGUUUAAGUUUUCCCUGGUGGCACGUGUUCCCAUAGUCCAGUGUAUUUAACAUGGGCUUGGGACCACGGCCAUUUUGGGUCUUUUUGGCUAUGAACCAAAAGGGAUUGCAUUAAGGUCAGGGUAAAGCAUAGCAUUAUCAAUCCAAACUGCUGAUUUGUGAUUCUCCAGCUGUCCACAUGCAGUUCACUCAGGAUUCCUGCUUCACCAGAGCAG